AGGUCGUUCUCCUUUCUUUACGAACGUUUGAAGGUCGUCUUCAACCUCUGGCCCUGGUUGGAAACGGCAGAACCUGCCCGCGUCGACGCGCCCCACUGCACCCCUCCUCUGCCCAGACCCGAGACACAUCUAAAACCUUCCUCUGCCCCUUUCCCCUUCAUCUCCCCGCACUAUUGCGCUUUUAUUCGAACCAUAAUGGCCAUGGCGUUACAGGAAACGGACGCCACCAUUAACGCUGCCUCCCGUUGCUCCACGUCCUCCCCCUCUGUAUAAAGCCACACCGAGUUUCCCCAUUGCAUAUCCUACUCCUCCACCACUCCACACCCCCAGGCUGCCCCUGUGGAGGGCGAAUUUCUUCGCCGAAGUUCCGCCGGCCGCCACGACGUCUUAUCAAAUUCGCUGGCCAGAGGUCACGCACAACGAACAGCCGGCCACCAUCGUUGUAGCUGUCCGCCACCGUCUCAGGAGCUUCGCCAGAGGAGCACCGCUCCACCGUGAAGAGAAGAGCGACGUCCAGUACUUGUUCAUCUCAGGAACCCCACACCUUUGAGACCAUCUCCAACCAAGCUGCUGCAUGAGAUUGCACGGAGUGUAGCGAGGAAUUUUAUCAAGAAGAAGAUCCUUGCUACUGUUGUUCCGAAGGCA